GAUGAACGCUGGCGGCGUGCCUAAUACAUGCAAGUCGAGCGAACAGAUAAGGAGCUUGCUCCUUUGACGUUAGCGGCGGACGGGUGAGUAACACGUGGGUAACCUAUCUAUAAGACUGGAAUAACUCCGGGAAACCGGGGCUAAUGCCGGAUAACAUGUUGAACCGCAUGGUUCUACAGUGAAAGGCGGCUUUGCUGUCACUUAUAGAUGGACCCGCGCCGUAUUAGCUAGUUGGUGAGGUAACGGCUCACCAAGGCAACGAUACGUAGCCGACCUGAGAGGGUGAUCGGCCACACUGGAACUGAGACACGGUCCAGACUCCUACGGGAGGCAGCAGUAGGGAAUCUUCCGCAAUGGGCGAAAGCCUGACGGAGCAACGCCGCGUGAGUGAUGAAGGUCUUCGGAUCGUAAAACUCUGUUACUAGGGAAGAACAAAUGCGUAAGUAACUGUGCGCGUCUUGACGGUACCUAAUCAGAAAGCCACGGCUAACUACGUG
rnacentral:rRNA from 1 species